GACGAACGCUGGCGGCGUGCUUAACACAUGCAAGUCGAACGCUGAAGGCCCAGCUUGCUGGGUUGGAUGAGUGGCGAACGGGUGAGUAACACGUGAGUAACCUGCCCCCUUCUUUGGGAUAACGGUCGGAAACGGCUGCUAAUACCGGGUAUUCACUGUCCUUCGCAUGGGGGGUGGUGGAAAGGUUUUUUCUGGUGGGGGAUGGGCUCGCGGCCUAUCAGCUUGUUGGUGGGGUGAUGGCUUACCAAGGCUUUGACGGGUAACCGGCCUGAGAGGGUGACCGGUCACAUUGGGACUGAGAUACGGCCCAGACUCCUACGGGAGGCAGCAGUGGGGAAUAUUGCACAAUGGGCGAAAGCCUGAUGCAGCGACGCCGCGUGAGGGAUGGAGGCCUUCGGGUUGUAAACCUCUUUCGCUCAUGGUCAAGCCGCAGCUUUGGGUUGUGGUGAGGGUAGUGGGUAAAGAAGCACCGGCUAACUACGUGCCAGCAGCCGCGGUAAUACGUAGGGUGCGAGCGUUGUCCGGAAUUAUUGGGCGUAAAGGGCUUGUAGGCGGUUUGUCGCGUCUGCCGUGAAAUCCUCUGGCUUAACUGGGGGGCGUGCGGUGGGUACGGGCAGGCUUGAGUGCGGUAGGGGAGACUGGAACUCCUGGGUGUACCGGUGGAAUGCGCAGAUAUCAGGAAGAACACCGGGUGGGCGAAGGCGGGUCUCUGGGCCGUUUACUGACGCUGAGGAGCGAAAGCGUGGGGAGCGAACAGG
rnacentral:rRNA from 1 species